rfam:Myotis brandtii contig192044, whole genome shotgun sequence.
GGCGGUUCUUAGGUGAUGCACCCCAGAAUUGGGCUCCCUCCUCUCUGGUUACCGGUGCGUCACCCGAGAACCGCA